rnacentral:lncRNA from 1 species
ACACAGGUCAAUGCAGCAAAAAACAAGACCGGAGCUGCUCCCAUCAUUGAUGAUGUAUGAUCAGGUUACUACAGAGUUCUGGGGAAGGGGACGCUCCCUAAGCAACCCGUCAUCGCCAAGGCCAAAUUCUUCAGCAGAAGAGCUGAGGAGAAGAUUAAGGGUGUUGGAGGUGCCUGUGUUCUGGUGACUUAAAGCUACUUCAGAGGUUAAUUAAAUGCUAACAUUAAAUAAAAGAAAAAAGAGAAAAGAAAA